AUUGAACGCUGGCGGCAUGCUUUACACAUGCAAGUCGAACGGUAACAGGCCGCAAGGUUCUGCCGAGUGGCGAACGGGUGCGUAAUGCAUCGGAACGUGCCCAGUCGUGGGGGAUAACUACUCCAAAGAGUAGCUAAUACCGCAUACGACCUAUGAUUGACAGCGGGGGACCGUAAGGCCUCGCGCGAUUGGUGCGGCCGAUGUCAGAUUAGGUAGUUGUUGGGGUAAAGGCUCACCAAGCCAACGAUAUGUAGCUGGUCUGAGAGGACGACCAGCCACACUGGGACUGAGACACGGACCAGACUCCUACGGGAGGCAGCAGUGGGGAAUUUUGGACAAUGGGCGCAAGCCUGAACCAGCAAUGCCGCGUGCAGGAAGAAGGCCUUCGGGUUGUAAACUGCUUUUGUACGGAACGAAACGGCUCUGGUUAAUACCCGGGGCUAAUGACGGUACCGUAAGAAUAAGCACCGGCUAACUACGUG
rnacentral:rRNA from 1 species